rnacentral:lncRNA from 1 species
UUUCUGUGAGGAUUUUUCUGAGAGAGGGAGAGUGAGGUAGGCGGAGGGUGAGUGGUAUUUUAGAGAAUGGACGCGUGGAGAGAAGAGAAAGGGUGGAGAAUCCUGAGAGAUUUUGUGAGAGAUUUUCAGCGUUGCGAGUGGAUUGAAGAGAGUGACGUGGCGAGAAAAGAGAGAUUCCAAGAGAUUUCUUUUUUCUUUUUUUUUUUUAUUUUGAAAUCAAUAUUUACUAUUUUAUUUAUUAAAGAAAGUAUGUUUUAAAAUCCUAAUUAAUAUUCACACUACAUAAUAGAAAAU